CAGGUCCUGAAAAUGGCAGAGAGAAAUUGAGGGGAAUGCUGUGCAUGGCCUUUCAGAUAACAGGAAGGUAGGCUGAGCAGUGAAAACAGUUCCUGGGCUGCUGGAGCUAGGAAAGGAAGCACUGCUUCGUAGGCUUGAGCUUGAAGGACCAGGCGUGUGUUGGGGGAUAGAGAGAAUGGAAGUUGUUUUCAGUUCCCAGUAGUAAGAAUGGUCUCACUGGCUUCGAACCAGUGUUCUACAACUUGAAACAUGGACUCAAGUUUGUAUUCCAACAGUUCUGGAAUUUAGGAUUCCUUUCCCCUGUUGUUUGAAACAGACUGGCAGUGCAAGGGUUCCCUUCUCCAGCAUUGGUCCCCACAAGGAUACCAUAUCUAACAUACUCUGAACCUGAUAGAAUACUGGCAAGCAAGCAGCCAAUCUUUGCCUUAGCGGGGCUCCCUUAUCGCGGUUAAAGCUGGAGCCUGCACCGGCAGGCGGAGAGAGCUGAGGAAGCUUCCCAGCAGAGUUCCCUGCCUCUCUAGGCUCCACUGAGCCCGGCUGGGUCACAGCCCACGUCCCAGCCUCAGAUCCCCAGUGAGGCUGGCGAAAGCCUCUUUGCACUCAGAGUGGGCACACAAAAACGCAGCGAAUGCCCCCUAAUCAGAUCUCCUAGGCUGCCGUUGCGGACCCGCGGAGUAGGAACGCUAGGCCGCCGCCAUCCGGUCGUGAUCGUAACCGAGGCCUUGUCUGCGCCGCGGCACACCAGGCCCAGAUCCACAGCCGUGGACAGCCGCGCCCCUCGAGCCCUUCCUCAGCAGAGUCCGACCUCUACUUGAAGACGCUUAGAAAAAUAAUACCCCACUCCCAGGCUCUCCCCAAGAAAGCUCAGGGUCUUUCCUGGGUCCCUCCCAAAGAGAAUAGUUGGGGAGGCGAGGGAGUGGAGGUAGAAAGAAAAUGAAAGAAAAAUAAAGGGAAGAGAAGAAGAAAGAAAAAAGAAAUGUGUGAAGGAAAGAAGGAAGAAAAGAGUCAAAGGUAACUAGAUUAGAGGGCGGCUUACAGAGAGAAGGGUAAGUGACAAGGCCAGGAUCUCAGCCCCUGUCAGCCCGGUCCCUCCUAAUUUGGCCUAAGCCUCUUACUGUCAAAGGGAUCUUUCCUGAUCCAGUACCAUGGAUUGGGGCUGGAGGUGUCCCAGCCUUGCAGGAGUAUGACGGAGGCCCUGGCCAGGAGCAUGCCUGGAGCGGGAGAGGCCCAGGAUGGAAGCGUGCGCCCCUGACCUUGAAUGGCCCGGGGCGCAGAAUUCCUACCACGCCCCUGGCGUCCUCGAAGAAGCAGCUAACCUGACCGUACCUGCUCCAGGCCAGGUGGGGGUGGCGGUGAGGCCAGCAGCCUGGCAGAGCGCUGAGAAAGAGGCAGGGUCGAGGCUCCUUCGCUGGAAAAGCCGAGGUUGCCACCGCAGGCCUGGCAUGGCCAGGGCCUGGAUGCCCCGCCCGGCCCGGCCCCCGCGCGUACAGAUACCUGGAGACGAUUUCAACUGAAGUAAUGAAGGCAGUGUCGUGCUGUCGAGAGAAAGGUGGAUCCCAACAACAGGAAACUACCUAAAUCACCGACCAGUUCUGGUGCUGCCCGCGCGGAGCUGCCUCGCCCGCCGCCGCCACCGCAGCCGCCGCCGCCACUGCCGCCGCCGCGGCCCACGGAGAACCCUGCGAUCGCGCCCGACCCGGCCCCUCGCCAACCUGCGCCCGCCGCUGCCAUUGCUUGCCCCGGGAUGCCGCUAAGGCAUCGCAGGGGGAGAAGCCCUGGGAAGAAAGGAAGAAAGAAAAAAGAAACCCAGGGGCCUGUAUCCCCUGAUUAAACACAGCCCAGCACUCCAGGCAGGCGAGCCCGGUGGCGGCUCCUUGCAUCAUUGACCUCAGGCCAGACACCUCAGCUGCCUACAAUGGGACCUCCGCCUUCUGGCUAGGUUUGCCAGCCCUACAGGAAACCAGCUCCACCAGAAGGACAGGGGCCAUUUCCAGUAGUGGAACCCCGAGACAGCAAACCAUCUUAGUCACCGCUUGACACCUAGGACAAUCUCUCUCUAUAUAGAAUUUUAGCGCAAUAUGGCUUUUCCCCCAGAAAACAACAAAUAAACCAGCACCAAGCAAACAAAGAAACAAAAAGUCAGAACAAACCAGCCCUGCACAGAUGUAAUGGCCAGCGAGAUGGUGAGUGUGGGAGGAAGGAAUGGGUCUCCAGCACAGGUGCGAGUUCCUGGGCAGAGGCCGAAGAUAGAGGGAGGAGAACAGCUCUCUGGAAGCGGGGGGGAAAAAAACCCACGUUGCCUGGAGCUUCAUCAGGAAAAAUUAAAGUUGGCUGUGAGCUCCCGGA